AUGUCCUAGUAUAGACGAUUUUAUCGUGAAACCGCGAACGGCUCAUUAAAUCAGCUAUGAUCUACUUGAUCUUGACAUAUCCUACUUGGAUAACUGUGGUAAUUCUAGAGCUAAUACAUGCACCAAAGCUCUGACCUCGCGGAAAGAGUGCAUUUAUUAGAGCAAAACCAAGCGGCUUCGGUCGUUUUUUGCUGACUCAGAAUAACUCAGCUGAUCGCACGGUCUUUGAACCGGCGACGUGUCUUUUGAGUAGCUGCCUUAUCAAUUUUCGAUGGUAGUGUAUUGGACUACCAUGGUGUUGACGGGUAACGGAGAAUUAGGGUUCGACUCCGGAGAAGGGGCCUGAGAAAUGGCCACUACGUCUAAGGAUGGCAGCAGGCGCGCAAAUUACCCACUCUCGGAAGGAGGAGGUAGUGACGAGAAAUAACGAGACCGUUCUCUUUGAGGCCGGUUAUUGGAAUGGGUACAAUCUAAACCCUUUAACGAGUAUCUAUGAGAGGGCAAGUCUGGUGCCAGCAGCCGCGGUAAUUCCAGCUCUCAAAAUGCAUAGAACCAUUGCUGCGGUUAAAAAGCUCGUAGUUGAAUCUAUGCCUUAGGCUUGGUCCACUUUGAUUUAAGUGCGUACUAGGUUCUUUGGCUUUUCGUCGGUUUUCUAGUCGUGGCCUUUAUUGGUGGCGGCUAGUGGCUGGCAAUUUUACUUUGAAUAAAUCAGAGUGCUUAAAACAGGCGUUUUGCUUGUAUGCUUUUGCAUGGAAUAAUAGAAUAUGACUUUGGUCUAGUUUUAUUGGUUUUAUAGAUCGUUGUAAUGAUUAAAAGAGACAAACGGGGGCAUUCGUGUUGUUGCGUGAGAGGUGAAAUUCUUGGACCGUAGCAAGACGACCUACAGCGAAAGCAUUUGCCAAGCUUGUCUUCAUUAAUCAAGAACGAAAGUCAGAGGAUCGAAGGUGAUCAGAUACCGCCCUAGUUCUGACCGUAAACGAUGCCAACUAGCGAUUCGCCGGUGGAAUUUUUGCCCUGGCGAGGAGCUUCCCGGAAACGAAAGUCUUCCGGUUCCGGGGGAAGUAUGGUUGCAAAGCUGAAACUUAAAGGAAUUGACGGAAGGGCACCACCAGGAGUGGAGCCUGCGGCUUAAUUUGACUCAACACGGGAAAACUCACCCGGCCCGGACACUAUAAGGAUUGACAGAUUGAUAGCUCUUUCAUGAUUUGGUGGAUGGUGGUGCAUGGCCGUUCUUAGUUCGUGGAGUGAUUUGUCUGGUUUAUUCCGAUAACGAGCGAGACUCUAGCCUAUUAAAUAGUUCGUAUAUUAUUUGCUGUGUUAUGAUACUUCCUAGAGGAAUUUUCGGUGUUUAACCGUAUGAAAGUGAGCAAUAACAGGUCUGUGAUGCCCUUAGAUGUCCGGGGCUGCACGCGCGCUACACUGGUAAAGUCAGCGUGUGUUUCCUUUUUUGAAAGAGAUUGGUAAACCGAGGAAAGUUUGUCGUGAUUGGGAUCGGAGAUUGCAAUUAUUUUCUGUGAACGAGGAAUUCCAAGUAAAUGUGAGUCAUUAACUCGCGUUGAUUACGUCCCUGCCCUUUGUACACACCGCCCGUCGCUGCCCGGGACUGAGCCAUUUCGAGAAAUUUGGGGAUUGCUGAUCGACGGUCUUUCGGGAUUGUCUUUUGGUGAAAACCAGCUUAAUCGUAGUGGUUUGAACCGGGC
rnacentral:rRNA from 1 species